GGGGAUGUAGCUCAGAUGAUAGAGCACUCGCUUAGCAUGUGAGAGGUACGGGGAUUGAUACCCUGCAUCUCCA
rnacentral:tRNA from 1 species